GUCGACGGUAAGGCCCUUCGGGGUACACGAGUGGCGAACGGGUGAGUAACACGUGGGUGAUCUGCCCUGCACUCUGGGAUAAGCCUGGGAAACUGGGUCUAAUACCGGAUAGGAGCUCCUGUCGCAUGGCGGGGGUUGGAAAGGUUUACUGGUGCAGGAUGGGCCCGCGGCCUAUCAGCUUGUUGGUGGGGUAAUGGCCUACCAAGGCGACGACGGGUAGCCGGCCUGAGAGGGCGACCGGCCACACUGGGACUGAGACACGGCCCAGACUCCUACGGGAGGCAGCAGUGGGGAAUAUUGCACAAUGGGCGAAAGCCUGAUGCAGCGACGCCGCGUGAGGGAUGACGGCCUUCGGGUUGUAAACCUCUUUCAGCAGGGACGAAGCGAGAGUGACGGUACCUGCAGAAGAAGCACCGGCCAACUACGUGCCAGCAGCCGCGGUAAUACGUAGGGUGCGAGCGUUGUCCGGAAUUACUGGGCGUAAAGAGCUCGUAGGCGGUUUGUCGCGUCGUCCGUGAAAACUUGGGGCUCAACCCCAAGCUUGCGGGCGAUACGGGCAG
rnacentral:rRNA from 2 species